rnacentral:tRNA from 1 species
CCUUCGAUAGCUCAGUUGGUAGAGCGGAGGACUGUAGAUCCUUAGGUCGCUGGUUCUAAUCCGGCUCGAAGGA